GUUCUGAAUAUUAGUGCAAACGAUGAUGUUAUAGAGGAGCUUGGAACUACAACCUUGCCGCGUCUUCGCUCCCAUAUCACAAACAAAAUGCAAUCUUUGAUAGGUAAUGAUCAUGUUAAUUUCUUGGUGGAAAGUGAUGAAGCUGAAGAUGUAGAAAACUGUGAAAUUCAAAUACUUGAUCCCCUUCGAAGAAGACCAAAAUGUGUAGCAAACACUCAGUUGAAGGGUGCUAAUGAAAAGUGAAAGAGAAAACCAUCUUCAUGCGCAGGAGGCACCUCACACAAGGAUUGACCUUCGGUGAUCAUUGACUACGAUGGGUAGAUAGCGAAUUUGGUGAUUGGUUAUCCUCCAGUUUUGAUUAAAAGCAUUAACAACUCUUUAAAACCUCGGAUUAGGUUUUUUAUUGAUAUAAUGGGGAGACAACUCGAUGAAGCUGCUGAUUAUCCUGACUUCUUUCCCCAUAGUUUGAAAAUAGACUAGAGCGACGUUACAAAUUUUUGAGCCAAAGGAACAUCGGCUGUAGCAUGAGCGAGAUGCUGGAUUGUGAUCAAAAGAAGUUCUUAUUGAAGUUCGGUUUGAUUGGAGGAUUCACUUGAGUUAAUAGUUACAUCUUUUGUUCAUUCUUACAAAUUUUUUGUAGAAUAGCUUUAGCUGUUAUUCUGUAUCCCUGAUGCUCGAGGUGAAGUCAUCUUGUAUGUGGUUCUAGUCAAACAAUUUAGAUGCUUAACGAAAUGAUCCUUUUGGCAAAUUCAGCCCAAAAUUUUGGUA